rnacentral:lncRNA from 1 species
AAAGGCUAUAACCACUGCCUGUGAGUCUGUAGUUCCUUACUGAGGUAUCACUUCACUAACUUCAGUCUGUAGCCCACCUAUGAUUCUUAUACUGAUAGCUUUCAACCCUCUGCUAUACUUAAUGGAAUUCGCGUUUAGGUCUGCUCCCCUGUGUCGGCUAACUCGAAUGCCUUUCACCCUAACUGCCCUAGCUAUCAAACAGCAAUUGGUGCCUAGAAGAUAUGAGAAUGGGUACUUUCCCCCCCAAAGAGAAUGAGAUUGCUCACUAUCAGAUUCCACUAUGAUGGAUGGCACCGACACCCUAUGAAUUAGUGCCCCAGACUUAUAGCUAUAGUACCAAGCUUGGAUUCUGAUUCUCUUCAGGGAACGAUCUAGUCUCCGGCUUUCACCUGUCAUUCGUAGUACGGAUAUCCUUGCUUGUUUUUCCUCUAUCUUUUCUUACUGAAAUACCUUAUUUGUUGACUUAUAUUAUGAUAUUAGUAAUGCCCCUUACCAGAAAUCCUACUCCAUGUACUUGGGUACAACAAGACACAAUUUCAUAGGUUAGAAUUCCGCAAGUAAGGAUCGGGCCUAUAAGUAUAGUCAAUAAGGAUUUGUCUUAAGCUUGGAACCCGGGCGACUGUCUUACACCCCAUAUCUCUUGGGUUGGUCUGCCUCCUGUAACUCCCCUAGAACCUGGCUUCAAUGCCUAUUAG